rnacentral:lncRNA from 1 species
CCAGAUGGACUGGCAGGAGAAUCAUUUCACAACAUUUAAGACAUGCAAAGGGAAUGAGACUACUUCAUCCAUCCACAACUCAAGCAAGUCCUUGCCAGGGCAGCUGCCUUACUGCCUGACAGAUGGUCCUACUGUCCAUCUCACCACUUGAUGACCUCUGGACACAGAAAGUGAGCAUCAUUCCACCAGAGCCUGGAUUUGUACACAAGGAGAUGGCCAGCAAGCUGGGGCUGAUUGACACCCUCAUCCCAGGCUCUGGAGCUAUGGCAGAACUCUCAGGAGCACUGUGUGUACUGAAUGGACUGGCAGAAGAAUCAUUUCACAACAUUUAAAAUGUGCAAAGGGAAUGAGACAACUUCAUCCAUCCACACCUCAAGCAAGUCCUUGCCAGGGCAGCUGCCUUACUGCCUGACAGAUGAUCCUACUGUCCAUCUCACCACUUGAUGGCCUCUGGACACAGAAAGUGAGCAUCAUUCCACCAGAGCCUGGAUUUGUACACAAGAUGGCCAGCAAGCUGUGGCUGAUUGACACCCUCAUCCCAGGCUCUGGAGCUAUGGCAGAACUCUCAGGAGCACUGUGUGUACUGAGUGAGUGGCAAGUCCCCUUGUGGAACAGACUUGCUCUCCAUAACCACAUCCUGUGUCUCUGCCUCUCUUUUGCUGUGAAUACCAUACACCUGUUGGAUUUCCACUGGAGGUCUUUGCCGACCCAGAAGAGGGAGUGUCCUAUGUCAGUGCUAAGCCUUGUCACCACGAUUCUCAGAUGUGCCUUGUGGGUUUUGCACACUUCAGGAACAGCCAUUCUCACUGCCAAUCUCACUGUCUCCCAACAGGCUCACCAAUGUGAUUUUUUUUUUCCUCACAGAUCAUUGUCUCCUGGCUCUGGGCUUUGCCUUUGUGUGUAUGUAUUUAUAGUUGGAAUCUGUCCUUCUGUUUUCAGUGAAAUACUUCAGUUCCUUUCUAAUUAAAAAUUCACUCAAAUUAGCCUUUUCCCAUACACUGCUAGGAUUGCUCUUUUGCUGUUGUUUUUGGUUUAAUUCUCUUUUCCUUAAUUUAUUUUUAUUUUAUGAGAAUGUGUGUUUUGCCUCCAUACGUGUCCAUGCACUAUUUUUUGCCUUGGGUCAGUGGAGAUCAGAAGACAGCCUCAGUUCCUGGAGAUGAAGUUACAGAUGCUUGUGACGCUCCGUGUAAGUGCUGCAAAUCAAUCUACCCUCCUUUGGAAGAGCAGCUGAUGUUCUCGCCCAUCUCUCUGGGCUCUUGGUUCUCAUUAUAACACAGGACCUCAAGUAGCCCAGGAGCCUCAAACUCAGUAUGUAGUCAAGAAUGAACUUGAACUUUUUUCCUGCUUCAGCUUCCAAAGUGUGG